AAUAGAUACCCCGGUAGUCCACGCCGUAAACGAUGGAUGCUAGCUGUUAUGCGUAUCGACCCGUGUAGUAGCGAAGCUAACGCGUUAAGCAUCCCGCCUGGGGAGUACGAACGCAAGUUUAAAACUCAAAGGAAUUGACGGGGACCCGCACAAGCGGUGGAGCGUGUUCUUUAAUUCGAGGCUAAGCGAAGAACCUUACCAGGGCUUGACAUCCUUGGAAUUUCUCCGAGAGGAGAGAGUACUUUAUUGGACCAAGUGACAGGUGCUGCAUGGCCGUCGUCAGCUCGUGUCGUGAGAUGUUUGGUUAAGUCCAUUAACGAGCGCAACCCUUAUGAAUAGUUGUAUUUUUCUAUUCAGACUGCCCCGGUAACGGGGAGGAAGGGGGGAUGAUGUCAGGUCAGUAUUGCCCUUACGCCCUGGGCUAGAAACGCGCUACAAUGGCCGGUACAAUGCGCUGCCAACCCGCGAGGGGGAGCAAAUCGCAUCAAAGCCGGUCCCAGUUCGGAUAAGAGGCUGAAACUCGCCUCUUGAAGCCGGAAUCGCUAGU
rnacentral:rRNA from 1 species